GAUGAAGAACGUAGCGAAAUGCGAUAAGUAAUGUGAAUUGCAGAAUUUAGUGAAUCAUCGAAUCUUUGAACGCACAUUGCGCCCCCUGGUAUUCCGGGGGGCAUGCCUGUUCGAGCGUCAUUACAACCCUCAAGCUCUGCUUGGUGUUGGGCCCCGCCGCCCCGGCGGGCCCUAAAAUCAGUGGCGGUGCCGUCCGGCUCCGAGCGUAGUAAUUCUUCUCGCUCUGGAGGUCCGGGUGUGUGCUCGCCAGCAACCCCCAAUUUUUUUCAGGUUGACCUCGGAUCAGGUAGGGAUACCCGCUGAACUUAAGCAUAUCAAUAAGCGGAGGA
rnacentral:misc_RNA from 1 species